rnacentral:rRNA from 1 species
UACGGAGGGUGCAAGCGUUGUCCGGAUUCAUUGGGUUUAAAGGGUGCGUAGGCGGAUAGAUAAGUCAGUGGUGAAAGGCAGCGGCUCAACCGUUGAGUUGCCAUUGAUACUGUUUGUCUUGAGUGCACUAGAGGUAAGUGGAAUUUAUGGUGUAGCGGUGAAAUGCAUAGAUACCAUAAAGAACACCAAUAGCGAAGGCAACUUACUAGAGUGUAACUGACGCUGAGGCACGAAAGCGUGGGGAGCGAACAGGAUUAGAAACC